GUUCCUGAAGCAUAUAUAAGGGAAACACAGAGGAGAGCUUCAGGGGGGUUGGACGGCGGGAUUGAGGGAAGUAAUUGAAACAAGCACUGUGAAGGUUUAAUAGCUCAGAUACUGUUGACGAGGACGAGACUAGUGGCUAACAAGUUCGUUGAGUGGAUUCCAUUGCUGAGGUGAGCCGCCACAUCAUUCAUGGAGGCCACUGUUUCAGUUCUACCUAUCUUAUGUUUAUUAUUUCUUUCGGGUUUGCAUGCCCGUCGGUUUGACUUCUAUUACUCUAUUUAGAUGUUGCACUGUCUUAGUAUGGAAUUUGGGUUAGAGAUUUAUUAUUUGAGGGCUCAUCAUAAUUUAUAAAUAAAUUAUGGUUUUAGUUGGAUAAUUAUUUUAUAUUUAGUAAUAUUUAAUGCGUUUGAACUA